AGUUCGUCAGCCUGCUCGAAAACUUCUUUCCUUUGCUGCUAAUGAGUCUGAGAUCACUUUAGAGGAACUGCUGAGACCUGGCUUCUCACAGGGAGGUUUUGCACUGCCUUUGGAAGGAGGUUCCUCAGCAGGUAACAGAGGUAUCUCCAACUGGCAUUCCCUGCCCAAAGCAAUUGGAGGUUCCCUUUUACAGGGGACUCUCCCUGAGAUAUGAUCCCACAGCAGAGCAGCCUUCUGAUACAUCAAGAACUGAUUCUUCAUGGGAUGACUCAUGGCUCACACACGGGAGCCAGUCUGGUUGUGUGACGUCCCCCCGGGUGCUUGGUACGAGGGCUCUGGAACGUUCUCUCAUGUUGGCCUGAGCUGCGGCUUUGCGCGUCGAUGACUUGCUGUUUGGACUGGCACUGUCGACAGUCUGGAGGGCCCAUGCGGACCACCAUGGGGUCUGCCGACCACACUUUCGAGGACUGGUCACUUCUAGGGAACACUGGUGGUGCGGAGUUUCUCAAUCAUGGUGUACAAGGCAUCCUGGCAGGGAGCACAAGGACUUUCCCUGAACACCACUUUCUUCUGUCCAUAUGUUUUCUUCAUGCCCCCACAGAGCAGAGAAGGAUGAAGAGUAGACUGAGCCAAUUAGUGUGUAUGCUAAGGAAUCCCGAGUGAAGUAUAUAAAAGGUUUGGAUGUAGCAGAUCAAGAUUAGAACUUCAAAAUGGAUAGUGAUAGUGAGAUCAACAGUUAUGCCAAAUCAUC